UGAAAUGCAGCUGCUCUACCAAAACAU
rnacentral:piRNA from 1 species